GCGUCAAAUCAGUUUUCCAAAAAUCGCCGCGCGGAUAACUUGUGAAUUGCAACUGUGAAAGAUCUGAUAAGAGACUUAUUAGCAUCUUAUUCGGGUCGUUACAUAGUUUUUUUGUGAUCAAGAAACGCUACGUCAACUCGCUAAGAUGGUGUUCCAACGUGAUCCAACCGUAGUGGGAGUACCGAACUUCAACGCGACGGAAGAUGCGGCGGCGCUCCGGGCUGCCAUGAAGGGCUUCGGUACUGAUGAGCAGGCCAUCAUCGAUAUUCUGACCACGCGCUCCAACGCUCAGCGCCAGGCCAUCUCUAAGGCUUUUACUCAUGAGUAUGGGAGGGACAUAAUCGAGGACCUAAAAUCCGAGCUGGGCGGUCACUUCGAGGACGUCAUAGUGGCACUCAUGCUGCCCCCCGAGGAGUACCUGUGCAAGGAGCUGCACAAGUGCAUGGACGGUCUGGGCACGGACGAGCACACGCUGGUGGAGAUCCUGUGCACCAGGACCAAGCAGGAGAUCGCUGCUAUCGUGGAAGCCUAUGAGAGGAUGUAUGACCGUCCCCUGGCUGAGCACAUGUGCUCGGAAACGUCAGGCGACUUCCGAAGACUGCUUACCCUCAUCGUGACUUCUGCCGUCCGCCAGGGGGCGCGGGACGACGAGGUCGGCGUCGACGCGGAGAAGGCACGAGAGGAUGCACAGGCGCUGUACGACGCGGGGGAAGCCAAGUGGGGGACUGAUGAGGAGGUGUUUAACCGGAUCCUGGCCCACGAGAGCUUCGCGCAGCUGCGGCAGAUAUUCGAGGAGUACAAGAACAUCUCGGGCCGCACCAUCGAGCAGGCCAUCAAGGCGGAGAUAGGAGGAGAGCUGAAGGAGGCGCUGUCGGCUAUCGUGGAAUGCGUGGAGAACGCAUCAGCAUGGUUCGCCACCCGACUGCGGAAAGCGAUGCAGGGCCUCGGCACGGACGACAGAACACUCAUCAGGAUCCUAGUCAGCCGCUCCGAGAUCGACCUUGGAGCCAUCAAGGCCGAAUACGAACGAUUAUACGAUAAAACCUUGGAAAGCGAGAUUAAGGGCGAGACCUCCGGAGACUACAAGCGAGCCCUCGUCGCUCUGCUGGGACCCGUCUAAGUGGAAGAUUGAAGAUAUGAACAAAUGGAGAUCUAAAGUGCAUCAGUAUAUGGUGUUUAGUUGUAUUCUGAAGUUAUGGUAUCGCUGGCACUGGCUCUCUUGAACCUUAGUUUGACGUAUUUAUAAAAUUCAAGCAUUUAAUGAAACUAUUUGCUGAAAACAUGUACUCUUGGACCACCUAAUUAUUUGACGAAAUACACACAUCAUCUGUACUCCCAUUUAACCAUACAAAAUUCGGUUUAUUUUAUACACAAGGGAGAUAAAAUCGUCAAUAAAGAACUUUUAUAAGGACAAUAACAGAUUGUACAAUGGACAAGAAUGAGAGCCGGUCGUAUCUUGAGGGCAAGGCCCAUUAAGAAAAAAAAACAUAGAACGUCUGUGUUGCCAACACAUUAUUGCUACCAACUAUUAAUGCUCUUUAGCGCUCUAUUUGUUUAUUCAUUUUAUUAAAUAAGCUUCUGUGUGUCGUGCAGCUAGAAUAAGUUAUGUGUACUCGUUACGUCACUUGACAGCUUGCAUCGUGUCGAUAUUUUCUGCAGCUGAUUAUUUCAUUAUUAAAUUAAAUUGUUGUAUUCGGUCGACGGACCUAAAACUGUAGAGCAUAAUAUUUAAGAUUAUUUGUUGUAUUAAUUUAAGCUCAAAUAAGCAAUUCUUGCGAGUUCGCAGCUGAUUUAUUGAAUCAAACAUGAUAAUAAUUAGAAAUUUAUUCUCGAUUCCUAUGAAAAACAACGAUAUUAUUGGAAUCUCAAAAUUAAUCUCAAUACAUAAAACUGUUUUCCGAAACAGAUAUAUUUUAAAUACAAAAUAACCCCCGAAAUACGACUGAUUUUACUAAUAUAUAUGUGUGCUUAUUUUUCUGCUUAUAAAUAUAUUACUAGAAUAGUAAUGUUAGACAUAUUCCUGCCUUAGGAGUGCCUCGUGUCACGUUAUUUUAUCAAAGGAUAUGUAUUAUAUAUACAGAGCAAAUUAUUGUUAUACUAGAUUCAAAAGAAACGAUGGUUGAAAUAGCAACUAUUAUUUUUUAGUGUUAUAUGCCUAAAAGAAAGCUUUAUAGCAUUUUAUUCACAAGAUUAUUUCCUAGUGACGUGAAAAUGUGAUUUGUCAAUUAUUUAUAUUUCGCUGUUACACGUUUAUAGUAUUAAAUUGUUAAUUGGCUAAUUUAUUAUUUUAUAAAAUGUUUAUUGUCAUUGAAUUGGAUUUAAAUUGAAUAUUUGCAUUCCGUCUCGAAUCUUGUUAAAGUUAUUACAUACUUUGUAGCUUUAAUUUUAUUUACGAAUAAACUAUGAAUGUAA